GCCGGUGUAGCUCAGUGGUCAGAGCAACUGAUUCGUAAUCAGUAGGUCGGAGGUUCAAAUCCCCUCACCGGCU
rnacentral:tRNA from 1 species